UACGUAGGGGGCUAGCGUUGUCCGGAAUCAUUGGGCGUAAAGAGCGUGUAGGCGGCCCGGUAAGUCCGCUGUAAAAGUCAAAGGCUCAACCUUUGAAUGUCAGUGGAUACUGCCGGGCUAGAGUCCGGAAGAGGCGAGUGGAACUCCUGGUGUAGCGGUGGAAUGCGUAGAUAUCGAGAGGAACACCUGCGGCGAAGGCGGGUUGCUGGGCUGACACUGACGCUGAUGUGCGAAAGCUAGGGGAGCGAACGGG
rnacentral:rRNA from 1 species